AAUAAAAUGGCAUUUAAAUUGUUGCUCCUAAGCAUGAUCUUGGAGUUAGGUGUUGCCAACAUCAAAGGUAGUGACGCCGUACCAAUUAUUCAUUUGAUUAGCGCAAUGGAAGCAACCAAGCUUCCUCUCUAUCUCCAUUUUACUAACGGGCCAAUGGACUACAGUCAUGGUCCACUGGACCGUUUUCUGAAUAGGGGCGAG
rnacentral:lncRNA from 1 species